rnacentral:rRNA from 1 species
AGGAAAGUCAUAAAUAUAUAAAUUAAAAUAUAUAGAUAUUUUAUAAUAAAGUAAUUAAUAUAAAUAAUUAUAAAUAAAUAUAAGUAUUUCUUUAUCCUAUUCAAUACAAAUGUAACAUAAUUACUAUUGAAAUAAAAGAAAGGCUCCCCCGCAUAUUUUUAUAAGAGGAGCAUAUAUAUUAUUAUAUAUACUUAUUUUUGUUAUUAACAUAUAACAAAAUAUAUAUGGAAAUUAAAAGCUUAAUAUAUAUAUAUAUUAUAAAUUAUCUUUUACAUUUUAGAUUAAUAUUAUAAAAAAUCUAAACCUUAUACUUAAAUAAAAUAAGGAGUAAGAGAGAUAAAUAUGAGUGAAAUAUAUAAUAAUUUUAUAAUUCUUUUAUUAUCCUUACCAUGAAUAUAAUUAGGGCCCCGCUAAGCGGGGCGGAGGGAUAAUAAUUUAAAUAUAUAAAUAAUAAAUAUUAUAUAUAUAGGAAAAUAAUAAUUAUUAUACAAAAAUAUGCUU